UGAGGAAUAUUGGUCAAUGGACGCAAGUCUGAACCAGCCAUGCCGCGUGAAGGAUGAAGGCCUUCUGGGUUGUAAACUUCUUUUACCUGGGAAGAAACCUCUUUUUUCUAAGAGAGUUGACGGUACCAGAGGAAUAAGCACCGGCUAACUCCGUGCCAGCAGCCGCGGUAAUACGGAGGGUGCAAGCGUUAUCCGGAUUUACUGGGUUUAAAGGGUGUGUAGGCGGGCUUUUAAGUCAGUGGUGAAAUCUCCGGGCUCAACCUGGAAACUGCCAUUGAUACUAUUAGUCUUGAAUUUUGUUGAGGUAGGCGGAAUAAGUCAUGUAGCGGUGAAAUGCUUAGAUAUGACUUAGAACACCAAUUGCGAAGGCAGCUUGCUAAACAAAUAUUGACGCUGAGGCACGAAAGCGUGGGGAUCAAACAGG
rnacentral:rRNA from 1 species